rnacentral:rRNA from 1 species
UACGGAGGAUGCGAGCGUUAUCCGGAUUUAUUGGGUUUAAAGGGUGCGUAGGCGGACGCUUAAGUCAGCGAUAAAAUUGCGGGGCUCAACCUCGUCGAGCCGUUGAAACUGGGUGCCUUGAGUGGGCGAGAAGUACGCGGAAUGCGUGGUGUAGCGGUGAAAUGCAUAGAUAUCACGCAGAACUCCGAUUGCGAAGGCAGCGUACCGGCGCCCUACUGACGCUGAAGCACGAAGGCGUGGGUAUCGAACAGG